rnacentral:rRNA from 1 species
AUCACCUUUAGAUGCGAUUUUGUGGAGUGUGAGGAGCUAAUCGCCUUCAUACCUGUAUAUUCGUGUACUUGGGGUGUACUUAUUCGUGGGGUAAGUUAACAUCAAUUUUGGUGGUCAUAAAAUGACUGGAGGAAUGUAGCUUCGAUCUCGUAUUGAAGUGUUAUAGCCUUCGGUAGAUGUGAUGAUCGAGAUUGAGGAUUGCAAUGGAUACCCUUCGGGGCUACCUGUCUGGUCUCUGAUUGUUGCUCUGGUGCCGAAAGCUUGCUUACGGUUAUCAAAGUCGAUGGUCAAUAGGUUAGAACGGGUUAAAUUCGUUAAGGAUGUUGACGUAAUGGCUUU